rnacentral:rRNA from 1 species
GAUGAACGCUGGCGGCGUGCCUAAUACAUGCAAGUCGAGCGAACAGACGAGGAGCUUGCUCCUCUGACGUUAGCGGCGGACGGGUGAGUAACACGUGGAUAACCUACCUAUAAGACUGGGAUAACUUCGGGAAACCGGAGCUAAUACCGGAUAAUAUAUUGAACCGCAUGGUUCAAUAGUGAAAGACGGUUUUGCUGUCACUUAUAGAUGGAUCCGCGCCGCAUUAGCUAGUUGGUAAGGUAACGGCUUACCAAGGCAACGAUGCGUAGCCGACCUGAGAGGGUGAUCGGCCACACUGGAACUGAGACACGGUCCAGACUCCUACGGGAGGCAGCAGUCGGGAAUCUUGCGCAAUGGGCGAAAGCCUGACGGAGCAAGGCCGCGUGAGUGAUGAAGGUCUUCGGAUCGUAAACCUCUGUUAUUAGGGAAGAACAAAUGUGUAAGUAACUAUGCACGUCUUGACGGUACCUAAUCAGAAAGCCACGGCUAACUACGUG